GGGUUGUGAGGUUAAGCGACUAAGCGUACACGGUGGAUGCCCUGGCAGUCAGAGGCGAUGAAGGACGUGCUAAUCUGCGAAAAGCGUCGGUAAGGUGAUAUGAACCGUUAUAGCCGGCGAUGUCCGAAUGGGGAAACCCAGUGUGAUUCGUCACACUAUCGUUAACUGAAUACAUAGGUUAACGAGGCGAACCGGGGGAACUGAAACAUCUAAGUACCCCGAGGAAAAGAAAUCAACCGAGAUUCCCCCAGUAGCGGCGAGCGAACGGGGAGCAGCCCAGAGUCUGAAUCAGCUUGUGUGUUAGUGGAACGGUCUGGAAAGUCCGACGGUACAGGGUGAUAGUCCCGUACACCAAAAUGCACAGGCUGUGAACUCGAAGAGUAGGGCGGGACACGUGGUAUCCUGUCUGAAUAUGGGGGGACCAUCCUCCAAGGCUAAAUACUCCUGACUGACCGAUAGUGAACCAGUACCGUGAGGGAAAGGCGAAAAGAACCCCGGCGAGGGGAGUGAAAAAGAACCUGAAACCGUGUACGUACAAGCAGUGGGAGCACCUUCGGGUGUGACUGCGUACCUUUUGUAUAAUGGGUCAGCGACUUAUAUUCUGUAGCAAGGUUAACCGUAUAGGGGAGCCGCAGGGAAACCGAGUCUUAACUGGGCGUUAAGUUGCAGGGUAUAGACCCGAAACCCGGUGAUCUAGCCAUGGGCAGGUUGAAGGUUGGGUAACACUAACUGGAGGACCGAACCGACUAAUGUUGAAAAAUUAGCGGAUGACUUGUGGCUGGGGGUGAAAGGCCAAUCAAACCGGGAGAUAGCUGGUUCUCCCCGAAAGCUAUUUAGGUAGCGCCUCGUGAACUCAUCUUCGGGGGUAGAGCACUGUUUCGGCUAGGGGGUCAUCCCGACUUACCAACCCGAUGCAAACUACGAAUACCGAAGAAUGUUAUCACGGGAGACACACGGCGGGUGCUAACGUCCGUCGUGAAGAGGGAAACAACCCAGACCGCCAGCUAAGGUCCCAAAGUCAUGGUUAAGUGGGAAACGAUGUGGGAAGGCACAGACAGCCAGGAUGUUGGCUUAGAAGCAGCCAUCAUUUAAAGAAAGCGUAAUAGCUCACUGGUCGAGUCGGCCUGCGCGGAAGAUGUAACGGGGCUAAACCAUGCACCGAAGCUGCGGCAGCGACACUAUGUGUUGUUGGGUAGGGGAGCGUUCUGUAAGCCUGCGAAGGUGACCUGUGAGGGUUGCUGGAGGUAUCAGAAGUGCGAAUGCUGACAUAAGUAACGAUAAAGCGGGUGAAAAGCCCGCUCGCCGGAAGACCAAGGGUUCCUGUCCAACGUUAAUCGGGGCAGGGUGAGUCGACCCCUAAGGCGAGGCCGAAAGGCGUAGUCGAUGGGAAACAGGUUAAUAUUCCUGUACUUGGUGUUACUGCGAAGGGGGGACGGAGAAGGCUAUGUUAGCCGGGCGACGGUUGUCCCGGUUUAAGCAUGUAGGCUGGUUGUCCAGGCAAAUCCGGAUAAUCAAGGCUGAGGUGUGAUGACGAGGCACUACGGUGCUGAAGUAACAAAUGCCCUGCUUCCAGGAAAAGCCUCUAAGCAUCAGGUAACAUCAAAUCGUACCCCAAACCGACACAGGUGGUCAGGUAGAGAAUACCAAGGCGCUUGAGAGAACUCGGGUGAAGGAACUAGGCAAAAUGGUGCCGUAACUUCGGGAGAAGGCACGCUGGUGUGUAGGUGAAGUCCCUGCGGAUGGAGCUGAGACCAGUCGAAGAUACCAGCUGGCUGCAACUGUUUAUUAAAAACACAGCACUGUGCAAACACGAAAGUGGACGUAUACGGUGUGACGCCUGCCCGGUGCCGGAAGGUUAAUUGAUGGGGUUAUCCGUAAGGAGAAGCUCUUGAUCGAAGCCCCGGUAAACGGCGGCCGUAACUAUAACGGUCCUAAGGUAGCGAAAUUCCUUGUCGGGUAAGUUCCGACCUGCACGAAUGGCGUAAUGAUGGCCAGGCUGUCUCCACCCGAGACUCAGUGAAAUUGAACUCGCUGUGAAGAUGCAGUGUACCCGCGGCAAGACGGAAAGACCCCGUGAACCUUUACUAUAGCUUGACACUGAACAUUGAGCCUUGAUGUGUAGGAUAGGUGGGAGGCUUUGAAGCGUGGACGCCAGUCUGCGUGGAGCCAACCUUGAAAUACCACCCUUUAAUGUUUGAUGUUCUAACGUUGGCCCCUUACCGGGGUUGCGGACAGUGUCUGGUGGGUAGUUUGACUGGGGCGGUCUCCUCCCAAAGCGUAACGGAGGAGCACGAAGGUUAGCUAAUCCUGGUCGGACAUCAGGAGGUUAGUGCAAUGGCAUAAGCUAGCUUGACUGCGAGCGUGACGGCGCGAGCAGGUGCGAAAGCAGGUCAUAGUGAUCCGGUGGUUCUGAAUGGAAGGGCCAUCGCUCAACGGAUAAAAGGUACUCCGGGGAUAACAGGCUGAUACCGCCCAAGAGUUCAUAUCGACGGCGGUGUUUGGCACCUCGAUGUCGGCUCAUCACAUCCUGGGGCUGAAGUAGGUCCCAAGGGUAUGGCUGUUCGCCAUUUAAAGUGGUACGCGAGCUGGGUUUAGAACGUCGUGAGACAGUUCGGUCCCUAUCUGCCGUGGGCGCUGGAGAAUUGAGGGGGGCUGCUCCUAGUACGAGAGGACCGGAGUGGACGCAUCACUGGUGUUCGGGUUGUCAUGCCAAUGGCACUGCCCGGUAGCUAAAUGCGGAAGAGAUAAGUGCUGAAAGCAUCUAAGCACGAAACUUGCCCCGAGAUGAGUUCUCCCUGAGACUUUAAGUCUCCUGAAGGAACGUUGAAGACGACGACGUUGAUAGGCCGGGUGUGUAAGCGCAGCGAUGCGUUGAGCUAACCGGUACUAAUGAACCGUGAGGCUUAACCUUACAACGCCGAAG
rnacentral:rRNA from 1 species